AUCUGAGAUAUGUUAAAGAUUUAUCGGUAUAAGAUGGGCAUGCGUCUGAUUAGCUAGUUGGCGGUGUAACGGACCACCAAGGCGACGAUCAGUAGGGGUUCUGAGAGGAAGGUCCCCCACACUGGCACUGAGAUACGGGCCAGACUCCUACGGGAGGCAGCAGUAGGGAAUAUUGGGCAAUGGUCGGAAGACUGACCCAGCCAUGCCGCGUGCAGGAAGACGGCCCUCUGGGUUGUAAACUGCUUUUAUCUGGGAAGAAAAAGGCCAUGCGUGGCAAAUUGCCGGUACCAGAUGAAUAAGCACCGGCUAACUCCGUGCCAGCAGCCGCGGUAAUACGGAGGGUGCAAGCGUUGUCCGGAUUUAUUGGGUUUAAAGGGUGCGUAGGCGGCUGAAUAAGUCAGCGGUGAAAGACUCCGGCUUAACCGGAGCAGUGCCGUUGAUACUGUUUAGCUUGAGUUCUGCAGGGGUACAUGGAAUUGAUGAUGUAGCGGUGAAAUGCAUAGAUAUCAUCAGGAACACCGAUAGCGAAGGCAUUGUACUGGGCAGCGAC
rnacentral:rRNA from 1 species